GACGAACGCUGGCGGCGUGCUUAACACAUGCAAGUCGAACGGUGAAGCGCCUUCCUUUUUGGUGGGUGUGGAUGAGUGGCGAACGGGUGAGUAACACGUGAGUAACCUGCCCCCUUCUUCUGGAUAACCGCAUGAAAGUGUGGCUAAUACGGGAUAUUCUGGGUCUGUCGCAUGAUGGGUCUGGGAAAGAUAUUGUUUCGGUGGGGGAUGGGCUCGCGGCCUAUCAGCUUGUUGGUGGGGUGAUGGCCUACCAAGGCGGUGACGGGUAGCCGGCCUGAGAGGGUGGACGGUCACACUGGGACUGAGACACGGCCCAGACUCCUACGGGAGGCAGCAGUGGGGAAUAUUGCACAAUGGGCGCAAGCCUGAUGCAGCGACGCCGCGUGAGGGAUGGAGGCCUUCGGGUUGUGAACCUCUUUCGCCAGUGAAGCAGGCCUGCCUCGUUUGUGGGUGGGUUGACGGUAGCUGGAUAUGAAGCGCCGGCUAACUACGUG
rnacentral:rRNA from 1 species